AUUGAACGCUGGCGGCAGGCUUAACACAUGCAAGUCGAACGAGUGGCGGACGGGUGAGUAAUGCUUGGGAAUCUAGCUUAUGGAGGUGGAUAACUACGGGAAACUGUGGCUAAUACCGCGUACCAUAGGAUGAGCCCAAGUGGGCUUAGGUAGUUGGUGAGGUAAAGGCUCACCAAGCCGACGAUCUCUAGCUGGUCUGAGAGUAUGACCAGCAACACUGGGACUGAGACACGGCCCAGACUCCGACGGGAGGCAGCAGGGGGGAAUAUUGCGCAAGGGGGGCAACCCGGACGCAGCCAUGCCGCGUGUGUGAAGAAGGCCUUCGGGUUGUAAAGCACUUUCAGCGGGGAGGCGUUACCCGCAGAAGAAGCACCGGCUAACUCCGUGCCAGCAGCCGCGGUAAUUC
rnacentral:rRNA from 1 species